rnacentral:rRNA from 1 species
GAUGAGCGCUGGCGGCGUGCCUAAUACAUGCAGGUCGAGCGAACGGACGAGAAGCUUGCUUCUCUGAUGUUAGCGGCGGACGGGUGAGUAACACGUGGAUAACCUACCUAUAAGACUGGGAUAACUUCGGGAAACCGGAGCUAAUACCGGAUAAUAUUUUGAACCGCAUGGUUCAAAAGUGAAAGACGGUCUUGCUGUCACUUAUAGAUGGAUCCGCGCUGCAUUAGCUAGUUGGUAAGGUAACGGCUUACCAAGGCAACGAUGCAUAGCCGACCUGAGAGGGUGAUCGGCCACACUGGAACUGAGACACGGUCCAGACUCCUACGGGAGGCAGCAGUAGGGAAUCUUCCGCAAUGGGCGAAAGCCUGACGGAGCAACGCCGCGUGAGUGAUGAAGGUCUUCGGAUCGUAAAACUCUGUUAUUAGGGAAGAACAUAUGUGUAAGUAACUGUGCACAUCUUGACGGUACCUAAUCAGAAAGCCACGGCUAACUACGUG